GUCUCCGUUGGUGAACCAGCGGAGGGAUCAUUACCAGAGUUUUACAACUCCCAACCCUUCUGUGAACCUACCCAUAGUUGCUUCGGCGGACCCGCCCCAGCGUCCGGACGGCCCAGCGCCGGCCCGCGACCUGGACCCAGGCGGCCGCCGGGGACCACGCAACCCUGUAUCUGUCAGCCUCUCUGAAUCCGCCGCAAGGCAACACAAACGAAUCAAAACUUUCAACAACGGAUCUCUUGGUUCUG
rnacentral:misc_RNA from 1 species